GUGCCAGCAGCCGCGGUAAUACCAGCCCCCUGAGUGGUAUGGACGAUUAUUUGGCCUAAAGCGUCCGUAGCCGGCUCAGUAAGUCUUUCGUAAAACCUAGCGACUCAAUCGUUAGAACGCGGAAGAUACUGCUAGGCUAGAGGAUGGGAGAGGUCGACGGUAGUCCUGGGGUAGGGGUGAAAUCCUAUAAUCCCAGGAGGACCACCAAUGGCGAAGGCAGUCGACUAGAACAUGCCUGACGGUGAUGGACGAAAGCUGGGGGAGCGAACCGGAGUAGACACCCGGGUAGUCCCAGCCGUAAACGAUGCGGGCUAGGUGUUGGGACAGCCAUGAGCUGUUCCAGUGCCGCAGAGAAGUUGUUAAGCCCGCCGCCUGGGAAGUACGGUCGCAAGGCUGAAACUUAAAUGAAUUGACGGGG
rnacentral:rRNA from 1 species